UUUGCAGAUGCACAAGUCUGGGGCAAGGCUGCUCCUCCUGCAGGGGCAAAAUAAUCGCUGUGGAGUUUUACUUUGAUUUGUCUGAGCUAGUUUUGGACUCUACAGACAGGUGUUGGGCAAGGACAAGGAGGCUCUGGUGGGGUCUUCACCGCAUUCUGGCAGGACUUGCAGCUGGCCUUCAGAGAGCACUGUGCUGCUGGACAGUGCCCACAUGAGUUGCUGGAAAGGCUCCAGGGGAGCAGGGGCACCGGCUGCAGAGGGCUGGGCACAGGACGUUCAGUGGGGCUUUCCUUCUGCAGGCGUUAUUUACAGUUGGUAUUAACGGAUAUGUCCUGUUUGCAGCUGGAAGUGGGCAGCUCGCUGAGUGCGUUUCUCCGCCCUGCUUCGAGGGGUUUGUUGACCUUGUGACCUGCCCACGGCAUGUUGAAGACUGACCGAGGUGCAAAUGGAAGCAUAGGCUGGGUUUGGUGUUUUGUUUGGAGGCCUUGUGAGGGUACAAGGAUUGUGUGGCUUUGCAUCACAGACACAUAUCAUUUUUCAGAAGUGCUGCUGCAUUGCAAAUAGGAGUAUCUCCUUAUGAUCCAAAGAAAAUAAGAUUCAGCAAAUAAACCUCUCCAGAACAAGAAAGCCAUCCUGAAUGGUUGUCCAUGUGUUGAACUGCUGCAGUGUCAUAUGCCACUCUCUGAUACUGGGAAAAGACAAGGUCUGUUUGAAAUGCAGACGUAUGUGGCCUGGUGGAGGCUGCAUGGAUUUCAGCGGGAGCCUGAAGUGCAUCCAGAUCUUGUGGUGCUUGAGGUGAGGAAGAUGCAGCAAAAUCAGUGGUAUCUCCUCUUAGGGAUGUGGAUCCUUGCACUUAGGAAGAACUCCUGGUUGAACAAAGAAUAGAAAUCAGCUGAAGUCAGCCUGAAGCAGAACAGCUUUCUGCAAAGCAAACCAAGAACUACGCCCAGAUUUAUUUGUUCUCCCUCAAACCAAACAUUUUACAUAUUCUACACUGACAACUCAUCUCCUCAUCAUUUCUAGAUUAUUUAACCCUAUAUUUCUUUUUUUUUUUUUUUUCUGUUUGUAAAUUAGGUCCCAUUCUCAAUCAACUGCAUUUUCAGAAGUUGGAGUAAAAGUGUUAUGUUUUGAUAAAGGUGAAUAAAUACUGAACUUUUCUAAAUGGUAUAAUUUUCAGUUUGGGUAAUGCUGGAAAACAAAUAGUUGUGAUAUCUUAAAAAUCUUCCUAAGCUUUUUUUUUUUUUUUUUUCUUCAGACACACUUUGAUGAAUUUACUCGUGACUUUUGAAUAGUUUUUGUCCCUGCACUACUUCUUUUUUUCAGUGAAGUGAUGAUUAUUUUGAAUGUUUUAUCCAUCUGUUCCAGCCACUUACUUGCCUCAUGCAAUGCUGAAAGCCACUUAAAUGUUCUCUGUGGUUCUUUGUUUCCUGGAUGUAAUGGAGAGCAAGGGAAGAGAAAACAUCUUACUUGAAGAGAUAAGUCUUCGUUACUAUUUGUUUCCUGCAAAAGCUUAGCCUACACAUACCCACUGAACCAUUCCUACUCACAUACACAGUUCCCAGCUCAAUUGUUAGCGCUCCUGCUGCACAGUGCUUUGGAAGACGCUCAGAGAGUCUGUUGAUCUUCAGGGAAACCCCCUAGAUUUCCUUUCUUAUUAUUCAUGGGGAUUUCCCAGUCUGAUGCAGAAAAACAAGGAUCAAAGUGUUUUACAUGUUGAUGGAUGUCUCCGGCUUCUUCACUGUAUUUAAAAGCUUAAGCAAAUGAGUGGCCAUAAAUAGAAUUAUUAAAGUGAUAGAAGUGGGAGGAACACAAGCAGAAAGUAAUAUUUUGUAUAUUUUUCAAAAUGUGUUGUUAGACUAGCAUUCAUAACAGAGCUUAACACACUGAUAUUUACUGUGCUCCAGGGAGUGAUGGAGAAAAAGGAAUGGAAAACAGUAAUUUUGUAACUGUACUUUCUAUAGCAAUAGGAAAGAAAAAAAUACAUUUAUACAUUUACCACCGAAGUGUGAUGUGGAUGAGCAUGACCACAUCUCCAAAAGUAAGGAAGUGUGUAGCACCACACGGCAUUUACUCCCUGCUAACUUCAAACUUGGCCUUCUUCUUUUAUAUAUAUAUAUAUAUAUAUAUAUAUAUAUAUGAGUCUUAUCAUAUGUUGAUAUCAAGUUAAAAAAAAUCCUUUUGCAUGCAUGCAUAAUUGGUCAUAAUCAUUAUCUUUCAGUUUUUCAGCAGUAUAAGGAAGUUUGUGGUCAAUCUGAAAACCAUGCAAAACCUCACAGAAGCACUAAGUUUUCCACUAAGCACUAUGAGCAAAAAGUUUAUGUCUGCAGACUAUAUUAGACUUCAUUAUUAUAGCAGAGGAAAAUAUCUGCACUUCUUUCAAGCACUCAUCAAUAGACCUUUAUGAUGAUAAUUCGUGUUUUUAUCUUUCAGCAAAACAGCCUGAGUUAAAAGUUCAAUAAUUUUGU